UUGGAAUCCUGACAGUAGAAGCCCCAGCUUGGCGGGUGCGGCCAUUUUUACGGCCCGGAGGAAGGGAGGCGUGUUUGCGCGCCGGCCUUUAACCUCUCUUCCUGGGGCCCUGUGGCUGGGGAAGUUUCUCAGGCGGCCUGGGUGGGCGGUGGAUGGGGAGUCGUGGGCCGAGGGGAACUAGGCCUGGAAAGCGCCGCCGCCCUCAUUGCCCCGGAGGGGCUUGAGGAGAAUCCCGAUAGGACUGGGGCGUCUGGCCUUCUUUGUGUCUGCCCGUCUGGACCUGGGAGCGCCGCCCGCCUGUCGGCUGAGUCCUAGGCCCGCAACCCUGAGGCGGUUAGACUUCUGCGGCCCGGCCCCUCUUCCCGGCGAGCGCGGUGGCUGCGUAGGCCAUGGAUUAAGGAGGAGGCGGCGUGGGAGGAGGAAGAUGGCGGCUGGCAAGAGCGGCGGCAGCAAAGGGGAAAUUACUUUUCUGGAAGCUUUGAGUAGAUCAGAAUCUAAGAGACAUGGAGGUUUUAAAAAUAAUUGGAGCUUUGACCAUGGAGAAGAAAGUGAAGGAGAUACAGAAAAAGAUGAGGCAAAUCUACUCAGUGUAGAUGAAGAUGGGGAUUCUGCAACCUCAAAAGGAAAAAAGUUAAAUCGUCAGUCUGAAAUUGCUGCUACUGGUUCUGGUGAUUCCUGGAAGACAUAUGCAAGACGAAACAAGACUGAAAAUCUAAAACCUUUAAAAGGCAACCCAAUUGGACUUAACAUGUUGAGCAACAAAAAAAAACUGAGUGAAAAUACAUUAAAUGCAUCAUUAUGUUCUGGAACUGUCAUUGAUGGUAGACGUUUUCAUCAUGCUAAUGCACAGAUACCAACAGUAAAAACAGCAGCUCAAAGCAGUCUGGACCAAAAGGAAAGGAAAGAAUACCCACCUCACGUCCAAAAAUUUGAAAGUAAUCCUGUAAGGUUAGGUCGGCCCCAUGGUGUUGAUCGUAUAAUGAAGAAAACAGAAGCGUCUCAAUCACACUCAGAGUCUGAAAUUAAGAGGAAAGUAUCACAGAAACGUCACAGUACAUACCAGUCUACGUCUCCUCUGUCUCCUGCCUCAAAAAAAUGUUUAACCAAUUUAGAGGAUUUGCAAAGAAAUUGCAGACAAGCUGUAACUUUGAAUGAAUCAACCGGACCAUUAUUAAAAAUGUCAAAUCAUCAAAAUUCUGGAGGACAGAAGUCACAAAACAUAACGGUCAAGAAGUUUUAUGGAAACAGUGUGGGAAAGGUCCCAAUUGAUAUUAUUGUGAACUGUGAUGAUAGUAGACAGAAUUAUUUACAGACUAAUGGGAAAGUUGCUUUACCUAAGGCAAAAGGAGCCAAAAUCACAAAUCUGAAAGAAAAGAAAAGCCUAUCGGGACUAAAUGAUCCAAUCAUCUUGUCCAGUGAUGAUGAUGAUGAUGAUGAUGACAGGACUAACAGAAGAGAGAGUGUGUCUCCUCAACCUGCCGAUUCAGCAUGUUCUUCCCCAGCACCAUCCACUGGAAAAGUGGAAGCAGCACUAAAUGAAAAUACCUGUAGAGUAGAGCAUGAACUAAGAAGCAGUCCAGCAAAUUCAGAGUUAAAUACAGUUCCGUUGCCAAGAAAAGCAAGAAUGAAAGAUCAGUAUGGUAAUUCUAUUGUCAGCACACCUCUAAAGCGUCGCAGAGUGAUUUCUCAAGAAACUUUAGUUGAUCCUGUAUCUUUAGGCUGCCAAAGUUCCUUUGACAGUGUCAUUUUAAGCUGUCGAAGUAUACGAGUAGGAACACUCUUUCGGCUAUUAGUAGAGCCUGUAAUUUUGUGUUUAGAUUUUAUCAAGAUACAGCUAGAAGAACCAGACAAUGAUCCUGUAGGGUUUACUUUAAAUACCUCUGAUCUAACUAAAUGUGAAUGCUGUAAUGUCCGAAAAUUACCAGUAGUGUUUCUUCAGACAGUACCAGCAGUUUACCAAAAACUGAGCAUGCAACUACAAAUGAAUAUGGAGGAUAAAGUUUGGAAUGAUCGUAAAGGAAUAAAUAAGUUUACAAAUUUGGAAGGACAAUAUAUAAUUUUAAUUUUUCAAAAUGGCCUUGAUCAUCAAACAAAUUCAGCAUUUGAAAGUAUCAUUGCAGCAAUUGGUAAAAAGAAUAAUGUGUCCAAUUUUUUUGCAAAAAUUCCCUUUGAAGAAGCCAAUAGCAGGCUUGUUGCCUGUACAAGAACCUAUGAAGAAAGCAUCAAAGGAAGUUGUGUGCAAAAAGAAAACAAAAUUAAAAAUGUGCCCAUGGAAUCUAAAACACAACUUAAAAGCAAACAAGAAUUCCAGUUUUUUGACGAUGAAGAAGAAACUGGAGAAAGUCACACCAUCUUCAUGGGCCCAGUAGAAAAAUUGAUAGUAUAUCCGCCACCUCCAGCUAAGGGAGGUAUCUCCGUUACUAAUGAGGACCUGCACUGUCUAAGUGAAGGAGAAUUUUUAAAUGAUGUUAUUAUAGACUUUUAUUUGAAAUAUUUGGUGCUUGAAAAACUGAAGAAAGAAGAUGCUGACCGAAUUCAUAUAUUCAGUUCUUUUUUCUAUAAACGCCUUAAUCAGAGAGAGAGGAGAAAUCUUCAUGAAACAACUAAUUUAUCAAUACAGCAAAAGCGGCAUGGGAGAGUAAAAACAUGGACCCGGCACGUAGAUAUCUUUGAGAAGGAUUUUAUUUUUGUACCACUUAAUGAAGCUGCACACUGGUUUUUGGCUGUUGUUUGUUUCCCUGGUUUGGAAAAACCAAAGUAUGAACCUAAUCCUCAUUACCAUGAAAAUACAGCCAUGCAAAAAUGUUCAACUGUAGAGGACAGUUGUAUUUCUUCUCCUUCAGCCAGUGAAAUGGACAGUUGUUCACAAAACUCUUCUGCCAAGCCUGUAAUUAAGAAGAUGCUAAACAAAAAGCAUUGCGUAGCUGUAAUUGAUUCAAGUGCUGAACAGGAAGAAAGUGACCCUCGUUAUCGGAGAAACAUAUGCAGUGUGAAAUGUAAUCUGAAAAAAAUAGAUCAUACUGCAAGUGAAAAUGAAGAAUCAAAUAAAGGAGAAUCUGCAUGCCAGAAAGUUGUUGAUAGGACUAAAAGUGAGAAUGGCCUACAGAAUGAAUAUUUAAGUUCUAUGCACCAUACAGAUGAUGUGAACAAAAUCAGACUAAAAUAUAGUGAUGAAUCAGCUGAAGCUACUAGUAAAAUGCUUGAAGAUGAACUCAUCGACUUCUCAGAAGAUCAGGAUAACCAGGAUGAUAGCAGUGAUGAUGGAUUCCUUGCUGAUGACACUUGCAAUUCAGAAGUAGGACAGUGGCAUUUAAAGCCUACUAUCUGUAAACAACCUUGUAUCCUACUGAUGGACUCACUCAGAGGCCCUUCUCGAUCAAAUGUUGUAAAGAUUCUAAGAGAGUAUUUAGAAGUGGAAUGGGAAGUUAAAAAAGGAAGCAAAAGAAGUUUUUCCAAAGAUGUUAUGAAAGGCUCUAAUCCAAAAGUACCCCAGCAAAACAACUUUAGUGAUUGUGGUGUAUAUGUAUUGCAGUAUGUUGAGAGCUUUUUUGAGAAUCCAAUUCUUAAUUUUGAACUACCUGUGAAUUUGGCCAACUGGUUUCCUCCCCCAAGAAUGAGAACAAAAAGAGAGGAAAUUCGAAACAUAAUUCUAAAGCUGCAGGAAGAUCAGAGCAAAGAGAAGAAGAAGCAUAAGGACACUUACUCAACAGAGAUAUCUUUAGGUGAAGGAACAGAACAAUGUGUCAGCAGUAUCUCAGAUUGACCAUUUUUGAUGCUUGUCAGUGUUGUCUUGAAACUCAGUGACUGUCACCUUUGGGAAUAGACAGUAAAAAACUGAAGUGCUCACUACUCAGAGUGAUUUGGAAAUGUUAAUGCUUGUAUAAAUGUCAUGUAAUUAAUUUCCAAUGGAAUAUGUAUUAAGUCUGUAAAUAUGUUAAUGAGGCCAAUUUUUCCAGCAUUUAUAAUUAUUUUUUUCACUUGUUAGGAAGCUUUUGUUAUGUAUUUUCUGUUAAUAGUAAUUAAAACUGCAACUUCUAAACAGAAAAUAAAAAAUAUUUAUAGGAAGAAAUGAUUAAUUUGAUAUUCUUUAGUGAAUUUGUAUUAAAGUCCUCAGUGGGUGUGAUAUGUUUCAUGGGAAUAUUCAAGUAUCUCUGAUAAUUGUUUUGAUCUUUUGCAUUUGUCCUAAAUAACUUGAAAUACAAAAAUAAGAUGAACUCUAAGGCAUUUUGAACAAGAAAGACAGCUUUAUGUGCUUGUAUAGCAGGAAAAAAUAACAGCUUUUUAAAUUCAUAUGUUCCCUUGUGUCCAGAAGCUCCAAAAUGGAAUAAAUAUUUAUAAUUUUACAUAAAUAUUUAAGAAGAAUCAGUAACUCAAAGAACAAUAACCUUGAAUUAUACUACUAAAGAGUAACUAUAUCAUAUAUUAUUGUCAGCUACAUUUCUGAAGACAUCUAAGACUCAGGUUAAAACUAUUUUGAGAAAAAUAUAACUUGUUCUUUGGGCCAUCUCAAGUCAGUCACAUUUUGACAUGAAAAAUACAGAUUGAUGCCAUCAGCUUUCUAAGAGGUACAGUAUUCAUACAUUUGAUAUUUCUCCCACUCCAUGUAAAAUUCUGUUAUGAAAAGUUAUACUAAUGACUUUGUUUACACACACACAUAUAUAGAUAUAUGUAUACACACACACACACACACAUUGACACACGUACUGAAAACUUUGGAGAUUGCCAGGUUGAACUCCAAAGCUACAUUUGAGAAUCUUUGAUAUAUAUGCACAUUUACAUGAGGAUUGUGUGCUGUAGUACUUUUAUAUAUACUUUAUAGUGGCUAUCAACCCCUUAGAAUAUGUUAUUAGAAGUUGUGAAACAAUUUUAAAGUUUAGUGGUUUGUUGCUAGACACUGAAACUGCAUGAUGAGUAUCUGGUGUCUUACCUCAUUAGAUAGAUCUGUUGUAUUUGUUUUCUUGUUGGAUAGAAUAACAGUUAAUCAUUUUUAGAAGAGUUUUAGAUUACUUGCCAUAAAAUUUGUAUGUGUCUUACCUCUUGGUAGUUUAGGAGCAAAGUAGACAUUUAACUAGUUCUUUCCCUUUGGUAUUGCUAAGACAGCUGAAACUUAAUGUUAUUAUUCCAAGUACACAUAAAUCUCAAUCAUUUAAGCAUAGUAACCUGUGCUUAAAUUAUUAGCUAUAGGUAGGAGGUUCUAUUUGCAAGGAUAAAAUAAUUAUUUAGAUUAUAUCUUGUUUUAAGUCACCAAAAUAAAUUCAGUAUUUGUUUCUUUAAAAAACUAUGAUAUUUGAAGAUUUUAAGAUACUAAAAUAAAAAUGCUUUAAUUUCCCAGACAUCACAGAUUGUACUUAAGUCACACACAAUUCACUGAACAGAAUAAUAAUGAAUAUAUUUUAAUAUAUAAAUAUAUAUGAUUAAGAGUUGGUGGAGUAAAGCUAUUGGAAUGUGAUAGAAAAAAUAACUUAGAAGAAACAGAACCUUUAAGAGAUGAAGUGGUGUAGUGCUGUAUAUUUAGAAGAGAUACAGUAACAAGGUUGCUCUAGAGAUCACUUUGAGGACAAAAUAGAGAGAGGAGAUUAUUGUGGGGGCAUACUACAGACUGUCUAGCCACAUGAAUGUAAAUGUAUAGUUUACCAGUAAGACAAUGUAACACACAGGCAACACUGGACUGUACUGAGAAAUGUAAUCUACUAAAGAAUGUGCUGAAAUACUCCAGCAGGACUUUUGGUACCUUUGUUGUUUUUCUGCUCUUAGGAAGAAGAAAAAGGGUUAUGAAAACUCUUCGAAGCUUAAAUUUAACUACAGAGGAAGAAUUGGUUGAUCAAGUUGAAGAAAUGUAUACCUUGAGGAAAAGUAGUCCUACUAUCUUAAUUCUGACAAGCCACAUCAAGGAAUAAUGGUAGGGCACCCUAAACUACUAUUAAAGAAAUCACAAUGCAGUGUACUCAGGAAAAUACCAUAGACCCAUGGCCUGAAACAAGAAAAAUGAAAAGCUCACAGUUCUUUAUCAUCUUUAUUGCAAAUAGUAGCUAAAUUAUCCUUAUUGUUAAAUUAUUACAGUGAAGAAUAUCUUAUCCAAAGCAAGAAUUUUUAUCUAGAAAUAUAUAUCAAAAUCACCUUGUGAACUUUUUGCAAUACACAUAACUCAGGUCUUAACUCCAGUGGUGCCAUGUAUUUUCAAAUAAUUCCUCACAACAUUCUGGCAUGCAUCUUUUGUGUCAGGCUACUGAUUUGAAAGGAUCAGUGUACUUUGCUGACAGCUUUAAAAUUUCACCUUCCAAAGGUAAUAAAGCUUGUUUGCAUUUUCUUUCAAAUGCUUUAGGUACCACUUUACUCCCAUUCCCCCAGGUUCUCAUUAAGAACAUGAUAGAAGGUCAAUGAUGAGAACUCAUAUUGUCCUGAAGGAGAGGAUGAUUUAAAACUCAUGCUCAGUUAAAAAAAAAAAACAUAAAAGAAGAGGUUAUUAAGUUGCUGUUACUGAGCC